AGUCGAGCGGGGAUUGGGUGCUUGCACCUAAUCUUAGCGGCGGACGGGUGAGUAAAGCUUAGGAAUCUGCCUAUUAGUGGGGGACAACAUUCCGAAAGGGAUGCUAAUACCGCAUACGUCCUACGGGAGAAAGCAGGGGAUCACUUGUGACCUUGCGCUAAUAGAUGAGCCUAAGUCGGAUUAGCUAGUUGGUGGGGUAAAGGCCUACCAAGGCGACGAUCUGUAGCGGGUCUGAGAGGAUGAUCCGCCACACUGGGACUGAGACACGGCCCAGACUCCCACGGGAGGCAGCAGUGGGGAAUAUUGGACAAUGGGCGGAAGCCUGAUCCAGCCAUGCCGCGUGUGUGAAGAAGGCCUUUUGGUUGUAAAGCACUUUAAGCGAGGAGGAGGCUACCUGGAUUAAUACUCUAGGAUAGUGGACGUUACUCGCAGAAUAAGCACCGGCUAACUCUGUGCCAGCAGCCGCGGUAAUACAGAGGGUGCGAGCGUUAAUCGGAUUUACUGGGCGUAAAGCGUGCGUAGGCGGCUUUUUAAGUCGGAUGUGAAAUCCCCGAGCUUAACUUGGGAAUUGCAUUCGAUACUGUUAAGCUAGAGUAUGGGAGAGGAUGGUAGAAUUCCAGGUGUAGCGGUGAAAUGCGUAGAGGUCUGGGGGAAUACCGAUGGCGAACGCAGCCAUCUGGCCUAAUACUGACGCUGAUGUACGAAAGCAUGGGGAGCAAACAGGAUUAGAUACCCUGGUAGUCCAUGCCGUAACGAUGUCUACUAGCCGUUGGGGCCUUUGAGCUUUAGUGGCGCAGCUAACGCG
rnacentral:rRNA from 1 species